AACGAACGCUGGCGGCAUGCCUAACACAUGCAAGUCGAACGAGACCUUCGGGUCUAGUGGCGCAUGGGUGCGUAACGCGUGGGAACCUGCCCUUAGGUUCGGAAUAACUCCCCGAAAGGGGUGCUAAUACCGGAUAAUGUCUUCGGACCAAAGAUUUAUCGCAUUUGGAUGGGCACGCGUUGGAUUAGCUAGUUGGUAGGGUAAAAGCCUACCAAGGCGACGAUCCAUAGCUGGUCUGAGAGGAUGAUCAGCCACACUGGGACUGAGACACGGCCCAGACUCCUACGGGAGGCAGCAGUGGGGAAUAUUGGACAAUGGGCGAAAGCCUGAUCCAGCAAUGCCGCGUGAGUGAUGAAGUCCUUAGAGUUGUAAAGCUCUUUUACCCGGGAUGAUAAUGACAGUACCGGGAGAAUAAGCUCCGGCUAACUCCGUG
rnacentral:rRNA from 1 species